ACACGUGAGCAACCUGCCUUUUCAGUGGGGGACAACAUUUGGAAACGAAUGCUAAUACCGCAUAAGACCACAGUGUCGCAUGGCACAGGGGUCAAAGGAUUUAUCCGCUGAAAGAUGGGCUCGCGUCCGAUUAGCUAGAUGGUGAGGUAACGGCCCACCAUGGCGACGAUCGGUAGCCGGACUGAGAGGUUGAACGGCCACAUUGGGACUGAGACACGGCCCAGACUCCUACGGGAGGCAGCAUG
rnacentral:rRNA from 1 species